AGCUUAAAGACUUAUGUAUUUUAGGUUAAACCUGCCCAGUGAUUUUUUUUUAACGGCCGCAGUACUUUGACUGUGCUAAGGUAGCAUAAUAAAUUGGCCUUUAAUUGGGGUCUAGUAUGAACGGGAGUUUGGGGAAUAGCUGUCUUUUAUAAGAUAAUUAAAAUUUACUUAAAAGGUGAAAAUACCUUUAGUUUUUAAAUAAGACGAGAAGACCCUAAGAAUUAUUAUAACAAAAAAUUAAUAUUUCUUUUAUUUUUGUUGGGGCAACAAUAUUGGAAAUUAUAACCAAUAAAUUAAUUAAAAAUGUACUAUCAAUUUUUAUUAUAAUUAACUAAUUACCUUAGGGAUAACAGCAUAAUUAAUAUAUUAGAUUGUGACCUCGAUGUUGGAUUAGGGACUUUAGUUGUUAGCCACAGUUAAAGAUAGUUCUGUUCGAACUUUUUAACCUU
rnacentral:rRNA from 1 species